UACGUAGGCAGCAAGCGUUGUUCGGAGUUACUGGGCGUAAAGAGUGCGUAGGCGGUGUCGAAAGUUUGGCGUGAAAUCUCCCGGCUUAACUGGGAGGGUGCGCCGAAAACUGCGGUGCUGGAGUGUGGGAAAGGCAAGCGGAAUUCCUGGUGUAGCGGUGAAAUGCGUAGAUAUCAGGAGGAAUACCGAUGGCGAAGGCAGCCCCCUGGGUCGAUACUGACGCUCAUGCACGAAAGCGUGGGGAGCAAACAGG
rnacentral:rRNA from 1 species